rnacentral:sRNA from 1 species
GCUGGGCAUGGUGGUGCAUGCCUGUAAUUCCAGCAACUUGGGAGGCUGAGGCAGGAGGAUCUCAAGUUUGAGGCCUGCCUUAGCAACUUAGCAAGACCCUAUCUCAA